UACGGGGGGAGCAAGCGUUGUUCGGAUUUACUGGGCGUAAAGGGCGCGUAGGCGGUCAGCACAAGUCAGUUGUGAAAUCUCCGGGCUUAACUCGGAAAGGUCAACUGAUACUGUGCGACUAGAGUGCAGAAGGGGCAACUGGAAUUCUCGGUGUAGAGGUGAAAUUCGUAGAUAUUCGCAAGAACACCAGUGGCGAAGGCGGCUCACUGGCCCGAUACUGACGCUGAGGCACGAAAGCGUGGGGAGCAAACAGG
rnacentral:rRNA from 1 species